rnacentral:tRNA from 1 species
ACGAUUUUAGCUCAGUGGUCAGAGCAAAACUUAAUUUAUUAAGUUGAGGCGAUGGGUUCGAUUCCCAUAUUUCGUU